ACUUCAUGCAUCGAAGCCAGACGAGGCCUUCAAGCUGCUGUUCUUUGCCCAUUUUGCUUUUAACAUCCAGUAUCAGAAGGAGACGAGCCUGUGCUUGGAAUUCACACAGAGGGCUAUUGCAGGUAUUAAUCCUGCAAGAGGAACAAAGGUGCAAAAGAAUGGCGGGAAGCAGCACUGCCUGUCACCAAGAGUGGCUGCACUCGUAACGGCUUCGAAAGACUAUGACUUUUAGAUUUUUAGUUUCUGUUGCUUGUGUUGUAUAACAUUUCAUUAUGUUGGGCUCAGAAAUAGUUUUCGAGCUAUAGAAGACUGCUGAUGUGACUUUCGUUUUAAUAAAGUGUUCAUUCAUAUCAA
rnacentral:lncRNA from 1 species